GUUAUUUUAGCAUUUAUUGAACCAUUUAGUUGUACGUUUCCAUUCUUUCCUAAUUUUCUUUUCCUUUUUUUACUGCCUUUGUCAAUAUUUAUUUCUUUUUUGUCCUCAAAAGGACAGUGUAUAAUGUUCUAUGCAGAUUGAAUCCUUUCUCUUUUGAAUAAACAUUGGUUUUAAAAAAUUUACUCCUGGUAAAAGUUUUUGCUAACUAACAUUUAGUCAAAAUGUGCAUUGCUGAUAGACAACAUUUUACACAGAUUUGUCCAGUGGUAAUUUACCUCUGAGGGUAAGACUAGAGAAAUGGCUCCCCCUCCCCCAUCCAACAGGAGUUGAUUUACUUCCUCCAACUUUGGCCGCUGACUACAACCUUGGUCAUAUCACAACAUACUUAAAUGAAAACAUUUCUGAUUCUAGCGGCAGACUCAGCGUCCCUAAAAGAAUCAAAGAGGAACCGCUGGGGUGCCUUCCUAGACCUGUCAGAGGUGAAAACGUGCUGCCGUAAUGGAAACAGAAACUGCUGCGCCACACUAGGAAGGCCAGUACACCAUGAAGGCUGAGAUAGCAACUGCAUGAGGCAACAAUGCUAGGCCGUCCCUUCUUGUUACCAGUACACCAGUGCCACCUAGUGACAGCAUCAAAGCCGUCUGCUCCUCUGAGGAGGCAGAGGCACAAAGACUGUGUGCAUUUCUUCAGCAACAAAUGGAAAUCUACUGUAAAUCUCUGGACCUGUUUCACGCUGGUCUGGGACUUCAGCAGCUGGGCCUCAGUGUUCAAAACAUCAGGACCACGCUGCUGGGGGACCCAUCAGACAUACCUUGUUAACCUACUGACUUCACUGCAAGGGGACACCCCCUGGAGCAACCCCUAGGGGCAUGCCCCGAGAUACCCCCUAGGGAUAUACCCCUGGGUUCAAUAGAACUGACUGACGACAAUAAGCCUCUAAAAUCUUUAAUCACUUUUCUGUGGCAUCCAAAGUGAGGAAGAUGCAAACCUGCAAUUUUGUGUAUUUAAUUGUUUUCA